UACGUAGGGACCGAGCGUUGUCCGGAAUCAUUGGGCGUAAAGAGCGUGUAGGCGGCCACUUAAGUCCUGCGUGAAAUCUUGCGGCUCAACCGCAAGCGGUCGUGGGAAACUGGGUGGCUAGAGUGCGGGAGAGGAGAGUGGAAUUCCUGGUGUAGCGGUGGAAUGCGCAGAUAUCAGGAAGAACACCCGUGGCGAAGGCGGCUCUCUGGAACGCAACUGACGCUGAGACGCGAAAGCUAGGGGAGCGAAUGGG
rnacentral:rRNA from 1 species